rnacentral:rRNA from 1 species
AUCUAAGUACCCGGAGGAAAAGAAAGAAACAUCGAUUUCGUCAGUAGCGGCGAGCGAAAGCGAAGGAGCCCAAACCAUCCGACUACGGUUGGGUGGGGUUGUGGGUCAGCAACAUGUACGAUGAUGCUUAGGAGAAGAGUUCUGGAAAGGACUUCCAAAGAGGGUAAGAGGCCCGUAUCCGAAAAGUUGAAUCGGCUAGCUGAUACCAGAGUACCACAGGACACGAGGAAUCCGGUGGGAAGCAGGAGGGACCACCCUCCAAGGCUAAAUACGAUCCAGUGACCGAUAGCGCAUAGUACCGUGAGGGAAAGGUGAAAAGAACCCCGGGAGGGGAGUGAAAAAGAACCUGAAACCCUGUGCUUACAAGCAGAGAGAGCACGAUUAAGUGUGAUCUCGUACUUUUUGUAGAACGGACCGGCGAGUUACGUUAUGCAGCGAGGUUAAGGACUGAAGGUCCGGAGCCGAAGCGAAAGCGAGUCUGAAUAGGGCGCAUAGUUGCAUGACGUAGACCCGAAACCGGGUGACCUAUCCAUGGGCAGGUUGAAGUGGAAGUAAAAUUUCAUGGAGGACCGAACCAGACGUCUGUUGAAAAAGGCGGGGAUGACCUGUGGAUAGCGGAGAAAUUCCAAUCGAACCCGGAGAUAGCUGGUUCUCCUCGAAAUAGCUUUAGGGCUAGCCUCGCAUUAGUUUACCGGAGGUAGAGCACUGAAUGGUCUAGGGGGCCUCACCGCCUACCGAAACCUAUCAAACUGCGAAUGCCGGAUAAAUGAUGUGCGGGAGUCAGGCCGCGAGAGAUAAGUUCCGCGGUCAAAAGGGGAACACCCCAGAUCGUCUGCUAAGGUCCCUAAGUACGCGUUAAGUGGGAAAGGAUGUUGGAUUGCACAGACAACCAGGAUGUUGGCUUAGAAGCAGCCACACAUUCAAAGAGUGCGUAAUAGCUCACUGGUCGAGUGAUCCAGCGCCGAAAAUGUAACGGGGCUAAAACGCGACACCGAAGCAGCGGGAUGCGUAAGCAUCGGUAGAGGAGCAUUGUGUGAGGGUUGAAGCCAGAGCGGGAGCACUGGUGGACUUCACAGAAGAGAGAAUGCCGGUAUGAGUAGCGAGACCCAUGCGAGAAACAUGGGCGUCGAAGGCCCAAGGUUUCCUGGGGAAGGUUCAUCCACCCAGGGUAAGUCGGGACCUAAGCCGAGGACUGAGGUCGUAGGCGAUGGACAGCAGGUAGAGAUUCCUGCACCACUUAUACUUGUUUGACGAAGCAGUGACACAGAAGGAUAGGACGGGCGCGGUGAUGGUCAACCGCGUAGGCGGCACGAGGCCGGGAAGCAGUGAAGUACACUUCCCGCAAAGGCUGAGUGUUGACAGGACCGAAAAGAAGUAGGGAAGCGUCCGAGUUCACGCUGGCGAGAAAAGCUGCUAAGGAGAGUGUGAGUGCCCGUACCGGAAACCGACGCAGGUGGGCGAGGAGAGAAUCCUGAGACGGACGGGAGAACUCUUGUUAAGGAACUCGGCAAAAUGACCCCGUAACUUCGGGAGAAGGGGUGCCUCGAAAGAGGCCGCAGAGAAUAGUCACAAGCGACUGUUUAGCAAAAACACAGGUAUCUGCGAAAGCGAGAGCUGACGUAUAGGUGCUGACGCCUGCCCGGUGCUGGAAGGUUAAGGGGAAGUGUUAGGGGAAACCCGAAGCAGAGAACCGAAGCCCCAGUAAACGGCGGCCGUAACUAUAACGGUCCUAAGGUAGCGAAAUUCCUUGUCGGGUAAGUUCCGACCCGCACGAAUGGCGUAACGACUUGUGAGCUGUCUCAACAGGAGGCCCGGUGAAAUUGAAGUAUGUGUGAAGAUGCACAUUACCCGCGACUGGACGGAAAGACCCCGUAGAGCUUUACUGUAACCUGACAUUGGAUCUUGAUAACGGAUGCACAGGAUAGGUGGGACGCUGGGAGACGAGGACUUUGGUUUUCGUGGAGCGGUCGUUGGGAUACCACUCUUCUGUUAUUGAGAUUCUAACCUCAAGCCGUGAGCCGGAUGAGAGACAGUGUCAGGCGGACAGUUUGACUGGGGCGGUCGCCUCCGAAAGAGUAACGGAGGCGCCCAAAGGUACCCUCAGAAUGGAUGGAAACCAUUCGAAGAGAGCAAAGUCAGAAGGGUGCUUGACUGCGAGACCAACAAGUCGAGCAGGUACGAAAGUAGGGCUUAGUGAUCCGGCGGUAAGAGAGUGGAAU